AUUGAACGCUGGCGGCAUGCCUUACACAUGCAAGUCGAACGGUAACGCGGGGCAACCUGGCGACGAGUGGCGAACGGGUGAGUAAUACAUCGGAACGUGCCCAGUAGUGGGGGAUAGCCCGGCGAAAGCCGGAUUAAUACCGCAUACGACCUACGGGUGAAAGCGGGGGAUCGCAAGACCUCGCGCUAUUGGAGCGGCCGGUGUCAGAUUAGGUAGUUGGUGGGGUAAAGGCCUACCAAGCCUACGAUCUGUAGCUGGUCUGAGAGGACGACCAGCAACACUGGGACUGAGACACGGCCCAGACUCCUACGGGAGGCAGCAGUGGGGAAUUUUGGACAAUGGGCGCAAGCCUGAUCCAGCCAUGCCGCGUGCGGGAAGAAGGCCUUCGGGUUGUAAACCGCUUUUGUCAGGGAAGAAACGCUCCGGGCUAAUACCCUGGGGUAAUGACGGUACCUGAAGAAUAAGCACCGGCUAACUACGUGCCAGCAGCCGCCGUAAUAC
rnacentral:rRNA from 1 species